UUCGCGAGAAGUGAUAGCUUACUUGAUGAUAAGAAUAUUACUCUCGGCUAUAUCACCUUCAUUGAUGCUUAAUACCAAAGAAAUACUUUGUUCUAAUAAAACAUUUUGUUGUUUUUUCCUUUAACUAAACUUUAAGGAAAACGGCCCAAAAAUCGAAGAAAAUCUACCUUAGAAGCUGUACGCUCUAUCUGUUGGAGGGCUUCUCACGAGAGGCGUAUCGGCGAGGUCACUUGUCUGUGGGUUUGAGGCUUCCUCAUAACACUCGGUCUUUUGAAAGACCUCUAGCUGGAAACCGUACAACUUGGAUCCUUCCAGGUGAAAGAAAAUUAACUUUCAAAAUACAGAACGACAUUAAAGACAUAACAGUGACCUUUGGUUCGACCUUACACAUUAAUGCAACAUACAAGUUGUGCUGUGUUGGUAUGUGGUGUCCUGAGUGUUCCAUGCAACUCAAGAUUUACGUCAUGGGACAUGAUUACAUGAUAGACAACUCUCUGGAGACGAAUUGUGUGAAAAAGCAAUUCAACAUAAGUAUUCCUGUAACAGUACAACCUGGACGGUACAAUAUGGAGGUAAACUAGUGAAACGUCGAUCUUUUAAUUGUUACUUGCCUAACAUGUUUCUAUACAAGGGUCUUUUACGUUCUGUCGCCCGGCAUGGCGACAGGAGGUAAAAUGUGCCUAAUCCUACAUUCCUGUUGCACGGAUGUUUUGCAUCCUUGUAGAUCAUAAAACAAAAUACAUCUAAAGAGCAAAGAAGUCGCUGAUACAAAAUAGAAACAACUGUAGUGAGGAAACAUAUCUUUGGUCAU